UGGGUGCACUUACAUACACGCAGGCAAAACACACAAAAAAAUAGAUUUUAAAUGUUUUUAUUGCAUCUAUUUUGUGUAUGUGGAGGUCAAAGGACAACUUGCGGAGUUCUCUCCUUUUACCGUGUGGGUCCUAGGUUGUCACUGCCUUUGCCCACUGACAGCCUGCAAAUUAGCAUUUUUAAAAAGAAAAUUGCAUUUUGGUCUUCAGACUUUGGCUCAAAACUUUGGAAAGGAAAGUCUCUAGCCUGUCCUCCCCCAUCCCCGAUACAGGUGAGCAAAUUCAAGCUUGCUGGGUGGUGAUAAUGAAGACUGCCCAGCUGCUGCAGUGGGAGACACAGAGGGCUGAGAAGGCUGAAGGGGUUGUUGUGCUGCUUCUGUGAGUUCGCAGCCUGGCCUUCGGGAGUUUGGAGCUGCUACUGUCCGAGCCCACAGUCGGGGAAAUGCUGAAUGCUCAGCAGAAAAGAGGAAGAUGUCUAACCAGUACCUCUCAUUCCUCCAUGGUUUCUGCUGUUCUUCCUGGCUGUGAGUUCCCAGUGCCAGCUGAUGCUAUGUGGAAUCAACAGGCCUGCCUUCACGUUCCUGCGUGGGUUCCUGCCCUGACUUCCAUUGGUAAUGGACAGUGACCUUCUAGUGUGAGCCAGAUAAAUCCUUUCUCCCCUAAGUUGUUGUUUGGUCAGUGUUUUACCAUAGCAACAGAAAGGAAACUAGAACUGCCCCCUCCACACUCAGAGCUCCCAUCUGUACCCCUAAAACAAGUCAUUUGACAGUUUCGAAUGAGAAUUUGGUCAAAACCCAAAGUCCCCCACCAACACGUUCUAGUCAAUAUCCUUUGACGGGUUAGAGAUUCAUUAUAUCUUGGGACAUUGGCAACUGCUUUGCACACACAUAUGCUUUGGGCUAAAGUUCACAAUUUCUCGUUGCAUUCUGUCAUACCUUGUUCAUUUUUCUGCCAACAGUCUGGGCUCCACAUUGUUUAUAGUAUAAAAUAUGAGAAAAAUGUUGACAAACAAGAUUGGCCCGUACAAACUAAGUAUUUGGCAAUAAAUUUAAAUUGUUUUGUGUCA